UCAACUUCCCAGCGGCAAGCUUUCUCUAAAGAACCUGGAGCAAUUUCUUUCUUUUUUUUUUUUUUUUUAAAUCAGGAAUCAUGUCUGAAAGCUGCCACAACCAGUUGUAUAGGCAUGUCAAAAUGACUUUAUACAGUCAAUAUGAAACAAGCAUUAAAUAUUUUUUCUCAUGUUGUUGCUUUUAUCAUUAUGAAUUCCUUGCUUGUUGCCACCUAAGAUACGAUGGAGCAAGCACAGUCUUAAAGAAGAUUUGCUGAUUUUUUGUUUUUCUCAGCAGACCAGAGACAUCCAUAAAAAUUCAUCAGAGAGCAUUUUACUACUGAGCUGCAAAGGUAGGAAAAAUAAAUUUUUUUUGGUUAGAAAAUAUACUUCUUUCAUCUGCGUUUCAAUAAUUUAUUCCCCUUGUUAGAUAUACAUGGAAUUGAUAUUGCUUAUUCUGACUAAGUGAAAAGUGUUAUUUCUACUUACUGCUCAAUUAGAAACAUGUAGUGUUUAAUUGUCAGUUUGAAUUUUUCUUUCAUACUAUUACAGUUUAUAUUUUACUAUAGGCAGAAUUUCCUCUUUAUCCUAAAUUUUGAUAUUCUCCAUAAUUUCAUCGUGCCUUGACAUUGCUGUAUAUAAUUUCUAUACAUCAGGAAGGCAAUUCUGUGUGCAUGUGUGUGUGUAUAUAUAUAGUUAGAAGUUAGAAACUGAAACUCUUUUUUGUCUACCAUCAUUUCAUAUUUUUCUUGCUAUUUCAAACCUAUAAUUUUUAAAGAAACGACUAACGUAAUCAUUCAUAGAAUAUGCUGUCAGUAACUUAACAAUAUAAAUGUUAACAUGGAGGCAUUUAGUUCAGCAUUUGCUUUACUUAAUAGAGUGCAGAAAAUGUGGCCCUUUUCUCAGUUAGGGUGUAUGUGAAGAUAAAUUUAGAAUUUCUAGACUAGUAAAUACUUCUCUGAUAAUAACUUAAUUAUAGCUAUUUCAAACCAAAUUGUUUAAUUGUGGUGAAUCAUAUGUAAAUUGUUCAGAUGUAGGUCAACACCCACGCCCACAUUCUAGCACCUCUUUCCUAAUUCAAGACAACUUUGCAGUGCCUAAAAGAGCUGAACAGUGCAGAUUAGAGACAUAAGACAAAAAAAAAAAAAAAA
rnacentral:lncRNA from 1 species